rnacentral:rRNA from 1 species
UACAGAGGGGGCAAGCGUUAUUCGGAAUUAUUGGGCGUAAAGGGCGCGUAGGCGGCUAUCCAAGUGGCGGGUGAAAUCCCUCGGCUUAACCGAGGAACUGCCUGCCAGACUGGAUGGCUCGAGACCGGGAGAGGUGAGUGGAAUUCCCAGUGUAGCGGUGAAAUGCGUAGAUAUUGGGAGGAACACCAGUGGCGAAGGCGGCUCACUGGACCGGUACUGACGCUGAGGCGCGAAAGCGUGGGGAGCAAACAGG